UACGUAGGGGGCUAGCGUUGUCCGGAAUCAUUGGGCGUAAAGAGCGUGUAGGCGGUCCGGUAAGUCCGUUGUGAAAGUCAAGGGCUCAACCCUUGAAUGCCGGCGGAUACUGUCGGGCUAGAGUCCGGAAGAGGCGAGUGGAAUUCCCGGUGUAGCGGUGAAAUGCGCAGAUAUCGGGAGGAACACCUAUGGCGAAGGCAGCUCGCUGGGACGGCACUGACGCUGAGACGCGAAAGCGUGGGGAGCAAACAGG
rnacentral:rRNA from 1 species